rnacentral:rRNA from 1 species
AGAGUUUGAUCCUGGCUCAGAUUGAACGCUGGCGGCAGGCUUAACACAUGCAAGUCGAGCGGGGAAGGGUAGCUUGCUACCUGACCUAGCGGCGGACGGGUGAGUAAUGCUUAGGAAUCUGCCUAUUAGUGGGGGACAACAUUCCGAAAGGAAUGCUAAUACCGCAUACGCCCUACGGGGGAAAGCAGGGGAUCUUCGGACCUUGCGCUAAUAGAUGAGCCUAAGUCAGAUUAGCUAGUUGGUGGGGUAAAGGCCUACCAAGGCGACGAUCUGUAGCGGGUCUGAGAGGAUGAUCCGCCACACUGGGACUGAGACACGGCCCAGACUCCUACGGGAGGCAGCAGUGGGGAAUAUUGGACAAUGGGCGAAAGCCUGAUCCAGCCAUGCCGCGUGUGUGAAGAAGGCCUUUUGGUUGUAAAGCACUUUAAGCGAGGAGGAGGCUACUUGGAUUAAUACUCUAGGAUAGUGGACGUUACUCGCAGAAUAAGCACCGGCUAACUCUGUGCCAGCAGCCGCGGUAAUACAGAGGGUGCGAGCGUUAAUCGGAUUUACUGGGCGUAAAGCGUGCGUAGGCGGCUUUUUAAGUCGGAUGUGAAAUCCCUGAGCUUAACUUAGGAAUUGCAUUCGAUACUGGGAAGCUAGAGUAUGGGAGAGGAUGGUAGAAUUCCAGGUGUAGCGGUGAAAUGCGUAGAGAUCUGGAGGAAUACCGAUGGCGAAGGCAGCCAUCUGGCCUAAUACUGACGCUGAGGUACGA